rnacentral:lncRNA from 1 species
GAUAUGGGGGAGAUAUGGGGUUAUAUGGGGGGAUAUGGGGUUAUAUGGGGGGAUAUGGGGGAGAUAUGGGGUUCUAUAGGGGCUAACAGUGUCUGCCCCAUAGCUGCGUCCCGCUGUGGGUCGGAGCUCGAGGCAUCGAGUUUGAUUGGAGACACGUGCAGAUGGGGCUGGACUCCAACAUCAGCCUGGUUCGUCACGUGGCCGCGGCGUCGCUCCUUUGGGCCUCGGGUCGCCAUGAGCUGCCACCGAAACUCCGGCUCCCAUUGGCUGGAAUGUUGGUGGGCGUGGCCUACGAGGGAUUCCUGAUUGGCUGGCUGUCCCAGUUCCUGUCGUUGGGUCCCUGGGGUUCUCUCGGUUUCCGCGCUUUGGGGGCCGCCAUCUUGGGGCUGGGGGCGCUCCGCCUCCUCGUCCCUCUACUGCCGCCCACGUGACUUCCGCCGGAAGUCCCGCCCCCAUCAUCAACACGGAAGUCUCGCGCCCCCCCUCACCACGGCGGAACCCGGAAGUCCCACCCCCCAGUCAACAACGUGAUGAUUGGAUGCCAACCGGAAGUCCCGCCCCUUCCCGGAAGUAAACCCCACCCCCAAAUAAAAGGCCUUUAAUGUUGACCCCGUAAGCGGUU